GCCUCCGUAGCUCAAUGGAUAGAGCAACAGACUUCUAAUCUGCAGGUUGUCGGUUCGAGUCCGACCGGGGGCG
rnacentral:tRNA from 1 species